rnacentral:lncRNA from 1 species
GCGGGGGCGGGUACGAGCCGCGUUCCGGCCCCGCCCCCGUGACGCACAGCCCCUGAGGCUGAGGGCCCUGCAGCGUCUGCGUUGGCAAGCCAGCGCCUGGAGCCCUGGGUGUCCGCGGGGAGGGGAGAAGAGCCGCGGGAACACACGCGCCGGGGCAGGAGCGGCUGCAGUGAGGCGGAAAGUGGACGCUGGGGCUGAAUUGGGGGGCAAGGGACUGCGCGCUCCCGGCCUUCCCAGACGGGCGCGCCCGUGCCUGCGUGUCAGUGCACGCGCUCCUCUCAGACCAGGAGACCCCUGUCUGCUAGCUGGUUGGAUUCUCGUCCAAAUCUCGGGUGAUUUCCGCAGUAAACCCUGAUCCAGGUUGGCAAGUCUGUGGCACUCCCAUCCCAGCAGUCUUGGCAGACGUUGGGGGGGGGAGGGGGGAGAAUUCUUGGUGUCUUCAGCGGAGGAUUUGCUAAUUGCCCUCCCCCCAUUCCUUCCCUCUUUAAGAACUGAAGAAAUUGGGUAUGAAAGGCCACCCUUGACACAAUGUACCUUCUCAGUCCAGUGGUUCUUUAUUGAGUGCCAGUACCACUGUAUUAGGGUCCCUGGAAGAAUGAACAGGAGGACAUUUCUUAAGGGGUUGUGUCUUCUCAAACUCACUGGCUUCUUCUUCUUUUGCCCCUUUAAUGUUAGUGUUCCCCAGGUUCUCUUAGCUGUGUACACAUCCUGAUGGAAUUUUUCAAACUCAGCAUAACUUGAUUGAUAACAACUUGGGCUCUGGUGGAAAACAGGAUUUGUACCUGUGUAACUGCUCAAGUCGUUAAUCUCUCAAUCUCAGUAUUUUUUUUUAACUGCAAAUUAAAAAUAGGAAGAAGAUUAACUUGGUAUCUCAAAUUGGUGUUAAGUAAAUGUUAUGUGAUGGUAUCCACACAUAAAAGUAUCAUCGUAUGCAGACCUGCUCUUUCUUUUAAAUUUCUCACCUCAAUUGAUGACUCCACAUCCAGUUCCCUGCA